AAAAAAAUCUUGGAUUAUUUGGGUCACUUUUCCAAAAUAGGCCAGCAUCUAGAAAAACAUCUUCCACUUCAGACAGAAUGAAGAAAUCUGUCCUGGGCUUCACUGUAAGAUGAGAAUCCUGAGACUCAGUACAACCAAUGCUGUAGAACUGGAGAAAGUGAUAUAUAAUAAGAGCGAGAUGAGAAAGAGGAGUCUACUUGGCAAAUAUUGGAAGAACAAGAAAACUAGAAAUGCAUAUCAAGGUAUUUCUGGGCAGGGCUUAAGUUCUAGUUGA
rnacentral:lncRNA from 12 species